rnacentral:rRNA from 1 species
GAUGAACGCUGGCGGCGUGCUUAACACAUGCAAGUCGAACGAAGAUGCCGGAGUGCUUGCACUUUGGCAGACUGAGUGGCGGACGGGUGAGUAACGCGUGGGUAACCUGCCUUAUACAGGGGGAUAACAGUUGGAAACGACUGCUAAUACCGCAUAAGCGCACGGUAUCGCAUGAUACAGUGUGAAAAAACUCCGGUGGUAUAAGAUGGACCCGCGUCUGAUUAGCCAGUUGGCAGGGUAACGGCCUACCAAAGCGACGAUCAGUAGCCGGCCUGAGAGGGUNAACGGCCACAUUGGGACUGAGACACGGCCCAAACUCCUACGGGAGCAGCAGUGAGGAAUAUUGGGCAAUGGGGAAACCCUGAUGCAGCGACGCCGCGUGAGUGAUGAAGUAUUUCGGAUGUAAAAACUCUAUCAGCAGGGAAGAUAAUGAACGGUACCUGACCU